rnacentral:rRNA from 1 species
AGUGAACGCUGGCGGUAGGCCUAACACAUGCAAGUCGAACGGCAACACAGUAAGAGCUUGCUCUUAUGGGGUGGGAGUGGCGUGCGGGUGAGGUAAAUACCGGAAUCUUCUUUUUCGUGGGGGUUAAAGUAGGGAAACCUACUCCCAUAUCGCAUACGCCCCUCCGGUGUAAGGAGGGGAUCUUUUGACCUUGUGCGGAUGGAUUAGCCGCUGUCGGAUUAGCUAGUUGGCGGGGUAAAGGCCCACCAAGGCGACGAUCCGUAGCUGGUCGGAGAGGAUGAUCAGCCACACUGGAACUGAGACACGGUCCAGACUCCUACGGGAGGCAGCAGUGGGGAAUAUUGGACAAUGGGCGCAAGCCUGAUCCAGCCAUACCGCGUGGGUGAAGAAGGCCUUCGGGUUGUAAAGCCCUUUUGUUGGGAAAGAAAAGCAGCAGGUUAAUACCCCGCUGUUCUGACGGUACCCAAAGAAUAAGCACCGGCUAACUUCGUG